GGGUCGGCUUUAGCUCAAGCGGUUACUUCGCGCAUUGUCUUCGGACUAGCAAUCCCUUCACAGGGGUUCGAGACCCGCGGGUGCUUUCUGACCCUUUU
rnacentral:vault_RNA from 1 species